rnacentral:lncRNA from 1 species
CAUGAACCUGUGUUUCUGGAACUGCACAAAGCAACAAAUGGCAGAGGGCCCAUGAGUCCAACACAGGCUGCUGGUUAAAUGUUUAGGAUUGUCAAAAUGCAAAAAGCCAGUUCCGCAGAGGUUUAGGCCCAGGGAGGUCAGUGGAAAUUAUAAAUCUGUGAUGGCCAGAGAAUGCCUGAAAUUUUCAAGUAUGAUUCAUUGUAUGACAAUGAAAUUCAGAAGCCAACCACGGUAGAGGCAGGGGCUGGUAGAGAUUUGGAUCUACACUGGUACGGUGGAGAAAGAACCAUGGAUGGAGUCUCACUCUGUCACCCAGGCUGGAGCACAGUGACGCAAUUUCAGCUCAUUGAAACUUCCACCUCCCAGGUUCAAGCAAUUCUCCCGUCUCAGCCUUUCGAGUAGCUGGGACUACAGAUGCACACCACCCGCCUGGCUAAUUUUUGUAUUUUUAGUAGAGACGGGGUUUCACCAUAUUGGUCAGGCUGGUCUCGAACUCCUGACCUCAGGUGAUCCAUCUGCUUUGGCCUCCCAAAGAGCUGCGAUUACAGGCAUGAGCCACCGUGCUGGGCCUACUAUUGUUAUUUAUGUUGUGCUUUUUCUUCUUCUUCCUCCUCCUCCUCCUCUUCCUCUUUCCCCCUGUUCUGAAGCUUGUCCAUAAAUUCUACUCUUGCCAGUUAAAGUUAAAAUAAUGAAACAUCAGGGCUCCUCCAAGACCACAGCCCCUGGGGCUUUCUCAAUUGGUUUCUGAGUCUGACAGCACUGUGGUCGUGUCAUCCUUUUGAGCUGCCCAACUCCAUCUGCCCCUGGGCACCUGACCCGGAGUCAGCCAGCAUCCUCUGGGCUGAAGUUCAGACUCCGUCUACCCCCAAAAGAAAAACAGCACCCAUCCUUCUGUGUGAGAGCAGGCCACGGGGAAGGGACACUCUGCUUUUUGAUGAUGAUUUCUGACACACUGACUCUGUAAAAGGCCCAUCAGCUCAUGUGUCUCCGUUCUUCGGCCACUUGCCUGCCCUGGUAGUUAUAAACGUGAGGCUCCUCCCUUUAGAGUGCAAUAACUAUAACCUCCCCGUAAUGAGCAAAACCAACAGCAUUGACACUGCCUGGAAAUGAAUGCUACCACUUAGAUUCUAAUAAAAGAGAAGUUGGAACAAGCUGUA